AUAGAUAUUCAAUGCUGGAAGGCUUGGAUAUCGAAAGCGCAAGCGCCAGAGGGUGAGUCUGCGGCCUAUCAGGUAGUAGGUGGUGUAACGGACCACCUAGCCUAAGACGGGUACGGGCCUUGAGAGAGGGAGCCCGGAGAUGGGUUCUGAGACACGAACCCAGGCCCUACGGGGCGCAGCAGGCGCGAAACCUUCGCACUGCGCGAAAGCGCGACGAGGGGAGACCGAGUGCCUCUCCUUUUUGGGGAGGCUUUUCGCAAGCCUAAAAAGCUUGUGGAAUAAGGGCUGGGCAAGACGGGUGCCAGCCGCCGCGGUAAUACCCGCAGCUCAAGUGGUGGUCGCUUUUAUUGAGCCUAAAACGUUCGUAGUCGGCCUUGUAAAUCCCUGGGUAAAUCGGGGCGCUUAACGUUUCGAAUUCCGGGGAGACUGCAAGGCUAGGGACCGGGCGAGGUCAGAGGUACUUUCGGGGUAGGAGUGAAAUCCUGUAAUCCCGAAGGGACCACCUGUGGCGAAAGCGUCUGACUUGAACGGCUCCGACGAUAAGGAACGAAGGCUAGGGGAGCAAACCGGAUUAGAUACCCGGGUAGUCCUAGCUGUAAACUCUGCCCGCUUGGUGUGGCUUGUACUUCGGGUGCAGGCUGUGCCGGAGCGAAGGUGUUAAGCGGGCUGCUUGGGGAGUACGGCCGCAAGGUUGAAACUUAAAGGAAUUGGCGGGGGAGCACCGCAACGGGAGGAUGCGUGCGGCUUAAUUGGAUCAACGCC
rnacentral:rRNA from 1 species